rnacentral:rRNA from 1 species
UACGUAGGUGGCAAGCGUUGUCCGGAAUUACUGGGCGUAAAGAGCGCGCAGGCGGCUGGUCAAGUCCGAUGUGAAAGCUCCCGGCUUAACUGGGAAAUUGCAUCGGAAACUGAUCGGCUUGAAGGUGGGAGAGGGUAGUGGAAUUCCCGGUGUAGUGGUGAAAUGCGUAGAUAUCGGGAGGAACACCAGUGGCGAAGGCGACUACCUGGCCCACUCUUGACGCUGAGGCGCGAAAGCUAGGGGAGUGAACGGG